GAGCGCCGAGGGGACACGCCCGCUCGGAAGCCGGACCCCGAGGCGGGCAGGAUGGAUCACCACCAGCUGGGGACUGGUCGCUACCAGGUGGUGAGUGCGCGGGCCCCGGGGAGGACGCUGGCCUCGGGGCGUCCCGGCGGGCCCCUUCCCGCCCAGCCCACCUCUCCGCCAGCCCCCGGCCGCAGUCGACGGCCAGCGCCCCGCCGAGCCCCCUCCCCGGCGACGCUCCCCGACUCACCCCGGCUGGCUUUCUUUCCCCUCCUUCUUCCCUGACUCACACACCCGUGAGCAGUGAGUGGUGUCCCCCUGCGGCGGGGCAGGGUGCAGGUACCUGUCAGGGAGUCGACCCGACCGGUGGCCUGAAUUGUGUGAGGUUAUAGAGUGGGGUGCAGCAGGGCUACAACCGGCGUGAGGGGUAGAGAAGAGCUGUGAUGGGGAAGGUGCCUCUCUUCUAGUUAACCUUGUCAUUUUGCCCUUUUCCAUUGUGUUAGUAUUACAGUGAUCGUUUUUUUUUUCUUUUUUUUUUAAAUCUGUUCCUGCUUUGCCUGUGUUCGUGUGUGCAGCGCUUUAUUAGAAAAAAAAAUCAAACCUUGUUUGAAAUGAAAUAGUUUUCAUUUAAUACAGAGUUUUAAAAUCACUCAAGUAUGUAAACCACCAGCUAUGCUUAAUGAGUGAAAUGCGCCCUGUAUUUUCUUUGUCAGAAUCUCUGUAUUUUACACCCUGUGUGUUUUAGUGAUGUCAUUGGAGAUAAAUAUUGUGAAUAGCAUUGUCAGCAAUAUUUACUUUAUUGCGUUUUCACUUAUAAACUUUUAGAUAAUUUAGUGGAACAUAGUUACGGGGGGAGAGAAGAAAAGCAUUUGUGCAUAUUGUUGCUAUUGCGUGUCGGGUUUAUAAGAUUGCACAGUUAGUCCUAUAUGUCAUCUUUUCUGUCUGUCUGCAUGUGUGUUGUGCCUUUUGACAAAUCUGAAGGAUUGUGGUAGAGACUUAAAUUUUCAUUUUUUCUUUGGUAAGAAUUCUCUGUCAUUUGUGUCUAUUUGCUAUAGCAUGGCCAGGUGAUUUAGAUUAUGAACUUUCUGAAAAUUAUCAACAUUUUCAGAAUGGCUUAGGAAAUAGAAAUCUUGCCAGUUUAUUGAAGGUGCUUUUCAAGUUGUCAGCUUUGGGUAACUUUAUAUUUUUUAAAAGACAUUGUUCCCUUUCUAAGUGUUUGC
rnacentral:lncRNA from 1 species